UAGUAAAAAAUUAAAGGUAAAUUCUGCCCUAUGAUUAAUUAAAUGGCUGCAGUAUCUUGACUGUGCAAAGGUAGCAUAAUAAUUAGUUUCUUAAUUGGUAACUUGUAUGAAUGAAUAAAUGAGAGAUUUGUUUUAUUUUUAAUAAUGUUAAAAUUUAAUUUUUAAGUAAAAAAGCUUAAUUAAUUUUUUGGGACGAUAAGACCCUAUAGAACUUUAUUUAUUUAUUUAUUUAAUAAUUUUUAGAUUUUUGUUUUAUUAAUUUUUUAAAUCUUUUUUAUUGGGGUGAUAAAUAAAUAAUAAACUUUAUUUUUUAUUUUCAUUUAUUUAUGUUUUUUUGAUCCAAUUUUUUGAUUAAAAGACUAAGUUACCUUAGGGAUAACAGCGUAAUUUUAAUGGGGAGUUCUUAUCUAUAUUAAAGUUUGCGACCUCGAUGUUGAAUUAAGAUAAGAUUGAGGGGUAG
rnacentral:rRNA from 1 species